AUUGAACGCUGGCGGAAUGCUUUACACAUGCAAGUCGAACGGCAGCACGGACUUCGGUCUGGUGGCGAGUGGCGAACGGGUGAGUAAUGUAUCGGAACGUGCCCAGUCGUGGGGGAUAACGUAGUAAAAAUUACGCUAAUACCGCAUACGAUCUAUGGAUGAAAGCGGGGGAUCGCAAGACCUCGCGCGAUUGGAGCGGCCGAUAUCAGAUUAGGUAGUUGGUGGGGUAAAGGCCCACCAAGCCAACGAUCUGUAGCUGGUCUGAGAGGACGACCAGCCACACUGGAACUGAGACACGGUCCAGACUCCUACGGGAGGCAGCAGUGGGGAAUUUUGGACAAUGGGGGAAAGCCUGAUCCAGCCAUUCCGCGUGCAGGACGAAGGCCCUCGGGUUGUAAACUGCUUUUGUACAGAACGAAAAGGUUUCUACUAAUACUAGGAGCUCAUGACGGUACUGUAAGAAUAAGCACCGGCUAACUACGUGCCAGCCGCCGCCGUAA
rnacentral:rRNA from 1 species